rnacentral:rRNA from 1 species
GAUGAACGCUGGCGGCGUGCCUAAUACAUGCCAGUCGAGCGAACGGACGAGAAGCUUGCUUCUCUGAUGUUAGCGGCGGACGGGUGAGUAACACGUGGCUAACCUACCUAUAAGACUGGGAUAACUUCGGGAAACCGGCGCUAAUACCGGAUGAUAUUUUGAACCGCAUGGUUCAAAAGUGAAAGACGCUCUUGCUGUCACUUAUAGAUGGAUCCGCGCUGCAUUAGCUAGUUGGUAAGGUAACGGCUUACCAAGGCAACGAUGCAUAGCCGACCUGAGAGGGUGAUCAGACACACGAGAACUGAGACACGGUCCAGGCCCCUACGAGAGGCAACGGUAGGGAAUCUUCCACAAUGGGAUCAAGCCUAACGGGACAACGCCGCGUGAGUGAUGAAGGUCUUCGGAUCGUAAAACUCUGUUAUUAGGGAAGAACAUAUGUGUAAGUAACUGUGCACAACUUGACGGUACCUAAUCAGAAAGCCACGGCUAACUACGUG